UACGUAGGUGACAAGCGUUGUCCGGAUUUACUGGGCGUAAAGAGCGCGCAGGCGGUCGUUCAAGUCGAGUGUGAAAGCCCCCGGCUCAACUGGGGAGGGUCAUUCGAUACUGAUCGACUCGAAGGCAGGAGAGGAGAGUGGAAUUCCUGGUGUAGCGGUGAAAUGCGCAGAUAGUCAGGAAGAACACCCGUGGCGAAGGCGGCUCUCUGGGACGGUACUGACGCUGAGACGCGAAAGCGUGGGGAGCGAACAGG
rnacentral:rRNA from 1 species